rnacentral:rRNA from 1 species
AUUGAACGCUGGCGGCAGGCUUAACACAUGCAAGUCGAGCGGGGGAAGGUAGCUUGCUACCGGACCUAGCGGCGGACGGGUGAGUAAUGCUUAGGAAUCUGCCUAUUAGUGGGGGACAACAUCUCGAAAGGGAUGCUAAUACCACAUACGUCCUACGGGAGAAAGCAGGGGAUCUUCGGACCUUGCGCUAAUAGAUGAGCCUAAGUCGGAUUAGCUAGUUGGUGGGGUAAAGGCCUACCAAGGCGACGAUCUGUAGCGGGUCUGAGAGGAUGAUCCGCCACACUGGGACUGAGACACGGCCCAGACUCCUACGGGAGGCAGCAGUGGGGAAUAUUGGACAAUGGGGGGAACCCUGAUCCAGCCAUGCCGCGUGUGUGAAGAAGGCCUUAUGGUUGUAAAGCACUUUAAGCGAGGAGGAGGCUACUCUAGUUAAUACUUAGGGAUAGUGGACGUUACUCGCAGAAUAAGCACCGGCUAACUCUGUGCCAGCCGCCGCCGUAA